rnacentral:rRNA from 1 species
GACGAACGCUGGCGGCGUGCCUAACACAUGCAAGUGGAGCGACGAACCGGGCUUCGGCCCGGGGCAAAGCCGCGAACGGGUGAGUAACACGUGGGUAACCUGCCCCGAUGAUUGGGACAACCCGAGGAAACUCGGGCUAAUACCGAAUGUGCCCUCCGGCCAUAAGGCCGCUGGGGCAAGGAAGCUUCGGCCUCCGCAUCGGGAUGGGCCCGCGGCCCAUUAGCUUGUUGGUGAGGUAACGGCUCACAAAGGCGACGAUGGGUAGCUGGUCUGAGAGGACGAUCAGCCACACUGGGACUGAGACACGGCCCAGACUCCUACGGGAGGCAGCAGUGGGGAAUCUUGCGCAAUGCGCGAAAGCGUGACGCAGCAGCGCCGCGUGGGGGAAGAAGGCCUUCGGGUUGUAAACCCCUUUCAGUUGGGACGAAGCUCCGCCGGUGAACAGCCGGCUGGAGUGACGGUACCUUCAGAAGAAGCCCCGGCUAACUACGUGCCAGCCGCCGCGGUAACAC